rnacentral:tRNA from 1 species
AGGCCCUUGGGGGUGUUACACGCAAGAUUGCAAAUCUUGAAACGCAGUUAGAGUCUGCCGGGGCUUC